UACGGGGGGAGCAAGCGUUGUUCGGAUUUACUGGGCGUAAAGGGCGCGUAGGCGGCCUCCGCAAGUCGACUGUGAAAUCUCCGGGCUUAACCCGGAAAGGUCAGCCGAAACUGCGGGGCUAGAGUGCAGAAGGGGCAACUGGAAUUCUCGGUGUAGCGGUGAAAUGCGUAGAUAUCGGGAGGAACACCUGUGGCGAAAGCGGCGCACUGGACCACAACUGACGCUGAGGCGCGAAAGCUAGGGGAGCAAACAGG
rnacentral:rRNA from 1 species